rnacentral:lncRNA from 1 species
CAGGUACUGCGUUUCCUAAAGGAGUGGGGAGAAGAGAUUAGAGGAAGGGGAAUGGAAGAGGGCCUCGAAGCUUAGUGUUAACGUAAAUAGGCAACUCCCGUCCGAAAAGCGGGUGUAGAAAGGAAAACCCUGCUCGAUUCAAAGGGUAGAUGCUGCAGACAGCUCAGGGGAUCGGGCUCUCGUCCUUACGGAUGCAGAGAUUGGACCACUGCACCUGGGGGCCAGGGAGACGGCCAUCCUGCUCACGUCAACCCCAUCCUAAGGACAGGUGGGGACGGAACGCCUGGGAGGCCCUGUGGGUGCCGUGCCGAGCCGCGGAGGGGUGGGGACUACGGAGCUUGCCUCCGAGCCCGGGGAGAGAAGGCAGGCAGAGCCCUUUCCCCAAGACCAGAGACCAGCUCCCCACGCCCUUCCUAUCCAAUAAUACUUUUCUUGCUAAGUCACCGCGGGAGGAGGGCGAUCCCCUGCCGACAGGGCCGCGGGGAAGAGUCGCGACGGUCCCGGCGGCCCCCGAACCCGGGCCUGAAGGACGCAAGUGAGGGCAGCGCCCUCCCCGGCCAGGGCCCCCCCUCCUCCGAGCCUCACUCAACGGCCGUCGCGGCCGCCAUUUUGAGAGCGAGGAGAGAAGAAGAAGGAGGCGGCGGCGGCAGGGGGAGGGGAGAAAGGGAGGGAGGGGACCGGCGCAGCCACAUCGUCAGGCCGCCGGGCCCAGCCCGCAGCCGCCCGAGCGCGGUGGAGGAGACAGAGGGGAGGGUGCAGACCCUUGGCGCCUUACCGGAGCGCUGCACCGCCGCGUCCGCAGGGCCUCUUCCGUCCUUCACUCCCAUCCACCGGCGGGGGGAAGGGGGAGGGAGAGGGAAGGGAGGAAGGAGGGAGGGAGGGAAGGAGGGAGGGGAGGAUGGCGCGCUGGGCCCGGUCCUCGGGAGGGGGAGGGGAGGGAAGCGGGCGGGCUCUUCAGCCGUUCCGGGGCUCGAGCCCAAGCCCAGCGCUCGCGGUUUCUGUUGCUCGCGCCCGAGCGCUUCCUUCCUGCCCUUUCUCGUUCUCUAGACCCUCGGGCCGCUGUUCAAUCGCUCCCUCACUCGCUAUCUCGGCCGUCGGACUCCGCCGCCGCCCCGCCGCUCCAGCUCCGUCUGUCACAGGAGCUGCCCCAGCGCCCUGACGUCACCGCGCCGCCGCCGCCCCAGACCCGCCAGGAAGAGGGAGGGGAGCGGAGGAGGGGCUGCGGCGCAUGCGCGGGCGCGGCUGGGCCCCUGAGUCGCCGUCUUCGUCCUGGCGAGCGGGCGAUCGCGGCCAGUGCUACUUGGCGGUACGGAGUGGCCGGUGGGCGAGCGUGCGCACGAGGCCCUGCUUUUCACGUCCCUCGUGCCGCUAUAACCUUGGAAGAGCCCCUUUUUUCCUCGACUCUGUUGUGUCCCCUCACGAACUCUGGUCCCACUCACCUAACCGCCCCGCUUUUGCCCCACUGCAUGCUGCGCUCUCUCCGCUUCCCCGGCGGACAGCGGGGACCAGUCGGCGCCCCUGCAUCCCGGCCCCGGAUUGUGGGUGAUCAUCUCCUGGAAGCAAGAAGUCAUGGAGGAGAACUCUUCUGCAGGAUAGGAGGAGAAAAAGGUUCUUGAGUGCUGGGAUUAACAGGCAUGUGCCACCGUGUCCAGCCUAUGAUGAACAUUUCUGAACAUAAUUUUUUGUUACAUUGUGCUGCUUACUUCCUUAAGAUAGAACCCCAAAAUUAGGGUUACUAGGCCAAAAGAUAAGGUCUUUUAAUUUGUUUAUUUGUUUGUACUGGGAAUUGAACCCAGGGCCUUCACACUGUGCUACAUCUCUGGUUUGUUUGUUUGUUUAUUUAUUUAUUUAUUUACAUAUAAAUUUUGAAACUAGAUCUCACUAAGUUGAUAGACAGCUCAAGAUGAGCUCAAAUUUGCAAUCCUCCUGCCUCAACCUCUCAGAGGGCUGGGUUUAUAGUCAUGCUCAACCAUACCCAGCCCUUUCUUCUUUUUAAAUCGACUACCUCGGGUUUUUGGGUUUGUUUUGUUUUGGUUUUUUAUUUUUUUGAGACAGGGUCUCACUAUGUAGCCCAGGCUGGCCUCCAACUCAUGACGAUCCUCCUGCCUCAGCCUCCCAGGUGCUAGGAUUACAGGCAUGUACCACCAUACCCAGCUUAUCUCAGGUAUUUUGUCACAGUGAUGGAAAGCUGACUAACACAACUGUGAUGAAAUGGCACACCUGGAUUUGAGCAACAAUGAUACAGUAGAAGGAGGAUUUAUACUAUCUGGAUUUGAACAUCAAUGUAAUCUGAAUUUUGUUAUAAGGUGAAUGUAUUCUUACACUCUCUGGGCCAGUUGAAGCCAGAGCUGCAGGCAGUUCUAGCCCAUGAGAACUGCCAAUAUCAUAAAAUGGGCCACACAGGGAAACACUGCAGAGGUGCAGUGGCACAUGCUGAAGCAGAGGGAUUACAAAUUUAAGACCAGCCUAGUCAACUGAGACUCUCAAAAUACAUAAAAAGGGCUGACAAUGUAGCUCAGUGGUAGAGUGCUUACCUAGCAUGCACAAGACCUUCAGUUCAAUCCCCCUACUGGGGGGAGAAAAGUUAAAAAAAAAAACCAAACAAAUAAUCUCAUGGAUUGUACACUCUAGAUCUAGUUAUUCUGAAACUAUUUCCAUACUUUGUUCUUUAUAAGAUUUAGAAAUAUGAGCUACUAAAACAAAAAAGAAAAAGAAAAAGUAUGAGCUACUAAAUUUAACCCCACUCCCCUCCACUAGUUUUUUAGGUUUGUUUGUUUAUUUGUUUGGGGUUUUUUGAGACUAUGUCUUGCCCUGUAGUCCUGGAUGGCCUUGAACUUUCGACAGUCCUCCUGCCUCAGCCUCCAGAGUGCUGGGAUUACAGGCUUGCAUUUGGCUAGUUUUUCUUAAAGUAGUUUGAAUUUGACUUGCAAUAGAAAGAAUCUUGGCCUAUAUUUAGGCAUGGAAGUAGGAAAAGAUAUCAGAUAUUAGAAUAAAUUUAUAUAAAAUAGUAUUUUAGCUGGUCAUAGUGGUGCACAUCUUUAGUCCCUCCUACUGGAGAGCCAGAGGCAAGAUCACUUGAGAUCAAGAGUUUGAGAUCAGCCUAGGCAACAUAGUAAAACCUUAUUUCAGGAAAACAAACAGUCCCACAAGGUGGCAUACACCUGUAAUACCAGCACUCAAGAGGCUAAUGCAAGAGGGUCACUGCAAGUUUGAGCCCAGCGUGUGCUACAUAGUGAGUUUAAGGCCAGCCUGGACUACAUAACAAGACCCUGUCUCUAAAAACCAAAGGGGAUGGGGGAAAGAAAAACAAACAAAACAAAAUAAAGAAAUAAAAUAGCAUUAAAAAUAUGAACCACUGGCCAUGGUGGCAUAUGCCUGUAAUCCUAGCACUUGGGAGGUUGAGGCAGGAUUGUCAUGAGUUCAAGGUCAGCCUGGGUUACAUAAUGAGUUCACAGCCAGCCUGAACUAUAGAGUGAGACUCUAUCUCAAAAAUAAAUGAAUAAACCAAUACCAUGUAGAAGUAUAGUUUGAAAUUACUAAAUAUACUGUCAAAAAGCAAGCUAUAGAAUGGAAAGAAAUUUUUAUAUGCAAGUGAUAUGUAGGAUAUAUAAAAAAGUACAACAGCAAAUAAUUUAAUAACUUGAUUUGAAAAUGACCAAAAGAUUUCAGCCUUCCAAAAAUGAUACACAAAUGGCCAAGAAGUAUAUGAGAUAGGAAACAGGGACAUAGCUCUUUUACAAAUGGGAAGGGGACCGAGAGAUGAAGGAAAGGGUGUGGGGGGAAGGGGACAUAAAAAGAAUGAAGAAUUAAAAUGUGUUACAUACAUGUACCAACUUCCCAUGAUGAAUGUAAUCAUUAUGUACUGCAAACGUACUAAUAAAAAUUAAAAAUUUUAUAAAGAAGCAUAUGAAUAGAUAGAUAUCACUAAUCAGAAGAGAAAUGCAAAUUAAAACCAGAUGCUACUUCACACCCAUUAUGAUGGCUACUGUGGAAGGAAAAAGGAAAGAGGAAGGAAGGGAGAGGGGCAGGGAAGAAGAAAAGAGAUCUGUCUUGUGUUCCCUAUCAUGAAUGUAUCACCUUGUAUUUAACCAUUCCCUA